GAUGAACGCUGGCGGCGUGCUUAACACAUGCAAGUCGAACGGGAAACCUUUUAUUGAAGCUUCGGCAGAUUUAGCUGGUUUCUAGUGGCGGACGGGUGAGUAACGCGUGGGUAACCUGCCUUAUACAGGGGGAUAACAGUCAGAAAUGGCUGCUAAUACCGCAUAAGCGCACAGAGCUGCAUGGCUCAGUGUGAAAAACUCCGGUGGUAUAAGAUGGACCCGCGUUGGAUUAGCUGGUUGGUGGGGUAACGGCCCACCAAGGCGACGAUCCAUAGCCGGCAUGAGAGGGUGAACGGCCACAUUGGGACUGAGACACGGCCCAGACUCCUACGGGAGGCAGCAGUGGGGAAUAUUGCACAAUGGGGGAAACCCUGAUGCAGCGACGCCGCGUGAAGGAAGAAGUAUCUCGGUAUGUAAACUUCUAUCAGCAGGGAAGAUAAUGACGGUACCUGACUAAGAAGCCCCGGCUAACUACGUG
rnacentral:rRNA from 1 species